rnacentral:rRNA from 1 species
AUUGAACGCUGGCGGCAUGCUUUACACAUGCAAGUCGAACGGUAACAGGCCGCAAGGUGCUGACGAGUGGCGCACGGGUGAGUAAUGCAUCGGAACGUGCCCGGUCGUGGGGGAUAACUACUCGAAAGAGUAGCUAAUACCGCAUACGAUCUAUGGAUGAAAGCGGGGGACCGUAAGGCCUCGCGCGAUUGGAGCGGCCGAUGUCAGAUUAGGUAGUUGGUGGGGUAAAGGCUCACCAAGCCAACGAUCUGUAGUUGGUCUGAGAGGACGACCAGCCACACUGGGACUGAGACACGGCCCAGACUCCUACGGGAGGCAGCAGUGGGGAAUUUUGGACAAUGGGCGCAAGCCUGAUCCAGCAAUGCCGCGUGCAGGAAGAAGGCCUUCGGGUUGUAAACUGCUUUUGUACGGAACGAAACGGCUCUGGUUAAUACCCGGGGCUAAUGACGGUACCGUAAGAAUAAGCACCGGCUAACUACGUG